GUGGCUAAUACCGCAUGACGUCUACGGACCAAAGCAGGGCUCUUCGGACCUGCGCUAUCGGAUGAACCCAUAUGGGAUUAGCUAGUAGGUGAGGUAAUGGCUCACCUAGCAACAUCUCUAGCUGGUCUGAGAGGAUGAUCAGCCACACUGGGACUGAGACACGGCCCAGACUCCUGGGAGGCAGCAGUGGGGAAUAUUGCACAAUGGGCGCAAGCCUGAUGCAGCCAUGCCGUGUAUGAAGAAGGCCUUAGGGUUGUAAAGUACUUUCAGCGGGGAGGAAGGUGAUAAAGUUAAUACCUUUGUCAAUUCGUUACCCGCAGAAGAAGCACCGGCUAACUCCGUGCCAGCAGCCGCGGUAAUACGGAGGGUGCAAGCGUUAAUCGGAAUUACUGGGUAAAGCGCACGCAGGCGGUCAAUUAAGUCAGAUGUGAAAGCCCCGAGCUUAACUUGGGAAUUGUCUGAAACUGGUUGGCUAGAGUCUUGUAGAGGGGGGUAGAAUUCCACGUAGCGGUGAAAUGCGUAGAGAUGUGGAGGAAUACCGGUGGCGAAGGCGGCCCCCUGGACAAAGACUGACGCUCAGGUGCGAAAGCGUGGGGAGCAAACAGGAUUAUACCCUGGUAGUCCACGCUGUAAACGAUGUCGAUUUAGAGGUUGUGGUCUUGAACUGUGGCUUGGAGCUAACGCGUUAAAUCGACCGCCUGGGGAGUACGGCCGCAAGGUUAAAACUCAAAUGUUGACGGGGGCCCGCACAAGCGGUGGAGCAUGUGGUAAUUCGAUGCAACGCGAAGAACCUUACCUACUCUUGACAUCCAGCGAAUCCUUUAGAGAUAGAGGAGUGCCUUCGGGAACGCUGAGACAUGCUGCAUGGCUGUCGUCAGCUCGUGUUGUGAAAUGUUGGGUUAAGUCCCGCAACGAGCGCAACCCUUAUCCUUUGUUGCCAGCGUAAUGGCGGGAACUCAAAGGAGACUGCCGGUGAUAAACCGGAGGAAGGUGGAUGACGUCAAGUCAUCAUGGCCCUUACGAGUGGGCUA
rnacentral:rRNA from 1 species